rnacentral:piRNA from 1 species
UAGGAGCUGACCUGCUGAGAAAAGCAUCCU